ACGCACACACACGGAUAGGAACGCACGCACAUACACAGACGCACACAUACACAGACGCACCAGUACGCACACAUAUACACAGACACGCGCACACCGACACACGCACAUAUACAGACAUGCAUUCGCAUGCACACAGACGCACACACGUUUGAGGGCCCUCCUGUUGGGGUCUUUUUUUCCGGGGACAAAGUUGAUGAGCAUUCUCCUCAGUUUACUUCAGUUAAACGCAGAGUUUGACCACAGUGUUUUAAACUCUUUGAUCAGAGGGGGACUUAAUGUUGUUUUUGUAUUUUAUCGAUGGGUAAUUGUGGCAAUAACUUGUGUUACUGUAAUAUGUUGCGCGUGUGCAGAUGAGGAAUUUGGGAAACAAACAAAUGUUUUAUAUACUCUUAAUUUUAGCUGAACAAUCUGUUUUCGGAGAUCCACGGUUUGGACUGCUGAUGGAUUAAAGCUUUAAAAGACUGUAGCUUGGUUUCAUAUUCACAACCAAGGCCGAAUUAUUGACCUCUGGGAAUAGGAUUUAUUGUCCCCAUAAUUGUAUUGAUUAUCAUUUGUUAUUAACAAAGUGGAUAUGCCCUAGGUGGUGAUAUUUAACAACUACACCACAAGUCGUUAUCUUUUUCUUUAUGAUUUUAAGGACCUUUUUUGAAGGUGGUUUUUAUUUAUUUUAUUUUUAGUUUAAGGUCUCAAACU